CCUGCGGCACGGGAAGCACUUCGGCAGGAUACUACCAUCGGGAGAUAAAAGCAUCAAGGCACGGCUCAUUGCAGAAAGAAAAAGAAAAAGAAGGGAAGUUCCCCAGAAGGAGGAGCUCAAUUUUAUUGAUUGAAUGUCUCUUAAAGACAAAGGAAAAAAGAAAAACCACAGUGAAAGAACAAUACAAAGUUAGAGGUCUCAGACCUCCGAAGCAGGAGUUGGGGAGCCCGGUGUUCUUGGAAGGGGGGCUGCGGUGGCAGCGGC
rnacentral:lncRNA from 1 species